CCCUUUUUUUGGCCAUAUAUACAUAGGUGCCAACAAUUUUUGGUUGUUGUAAUUCACAAGAAGGACUGACUCAUCGUACUAACAACAUGAUGCCACUAGUUAAUGCAAGUCUUAAUCUGUAGUAAUCGAUUUGCUUCAUGUUUUAGUUUUUACCUUAUCAAUAAACAGUGACACAAGUACUUCUGUACGUACUUUAUUUGAUUUAGCAUUCAGUUAUUCAUUUUCAGUACAUCAACAUUCACUUAGUUAAUUUAAUUGUACUUUGUAUAGUCUUUGUGCACACUUCUAACUAUAUCUGUAUAGGUUAUCACAAUGAGUCAUCACAGGUAUGGAAACUUGACAGCAUUAGCUCCGGAAAGAUGCUUUCUACUCACAGUUGAACAAGUCUGGACUGAUACAAGGUAUUGCUAGGUGGACCUUGCCAGAGCAAUCAAGUAAAUUAGCAGAUUUCAGCAGGAAAAGGGUUACUCACAGGCCUCAUAAGCAAUAUGAGGAACCCGGGAAGAAGUACAAGUUAGCUACAAAAGAUGGAAAUGAUGCGCCAACAAAUACACCAAUCUUGUUUAGUACAAAAUGGGAUGCAGAUGAUUCCAAAAGACUGAUGGUCCACCAUAAUAUAUAGAAGCAACAGGAGGGAUAGCUGAUGAAGAAUGAUAUCCAUUCAAACAAUGGUGGUGUUCCUCAAG